UGGACCGCGCCGGAUUUGGAGGGCCCGGGGUGGCCGGUUCGGUUCGGGGACAGUUGGUGCGGUUCAGGUCUGGGGCGUGCGGAAGUCCCUGGACCUGGCUGGGCUUGGAGACUCUGGGUGUCCGGGCUGGGUCCGCACAGGGGUCGGGGACAAUUCCGAAGGGGCUGCAUCCAGUUGGACCUGAGUGCCCUGGGACACCGAGGUUGGUCCGGGGCUCAGGCUCGGCUUGGGGCAUCGUGGGUGGCCGCGCCAGCGCGUUCCGAGGGCUAGAUCCGGGCACUCUGGGACUGCUCGUCCCGCUAUGGCCUAAGGGUGUGGAAAGUGGGGACUGGGCAGCCAGGUUGGUUGGUAUCAGAGACCAGGGGACAUUUGGGGGUCCUGCGCCCAGCGAUCUGGUCUCCCCAGCAUUUCCCAGUAACGGGUCCUCAGAGGAGGGAAUCUCUGAGGCCCAGCACUGACUGGGAUAGGGAGUGGCACCAGGAGAAGGGAGCAGAGGAGGGGGAUUUCGUAGGGGUUUCUGAAGCCCCAGGAGAGAACCCAUUUGGUCCAGGCAGGACUGCUUGAGGCUUUUAGGUUGAGGUUUUAGGGAGAGGAGUUGUUUUUGGAAGGAAAGCCAAGACCUUCCAAUCAUCUCGCUAGAGCCUGAUGAUGACCUCUCCAUCAUGGGGGCAGAGACUACCUACUUCUCUUUGGUUUAUUUUCCCAUCAGAGGCCCCCCAGAUUCUCUCUCCUAGUUCUGUUCUGUGCAGUGAAGUGGGUACAAGUCACCAUGUAGGGCCUGAGGAGGGCAUGUGCCACCUCCACUUCUCUGUGACAAUGCUGCCAAGCCUGAGGGGGCUCAGGUGGGGGAGGAUAGGACCCCCUGUAGACCUAAAGAGUCCCCCAGUGACUCCCCAGGACCAACUCCUGCUCUGCCCAGAGCUGGGGUUCCCUUAAAGUAUCCCUCUCCUCUCCUCUCUUCUUGCCCCACUAGUGUCUGCUUUCCUCUGCACCACCACUUGCCUCUCCAGAAUCAGUAAUAAUGAAAUAUGGCUGACUCCACACCCAAAGGUACUUAGACAUCACCUUGGACCCAUCUUACCUCCUUGAUCAGGAACCUCUCCCCUGGAAUGCUCUGUUUGGACAGUUUUGGUGGCAGGGAGCGAACUCCCUGUGACCAGCACUUGAUUUAAAGUCUCCGUAUAUGACAAUGAAAGAAGUGUGGCGGCCAGGCAGAUAUGGAGCAGGAAAUUGCAAGUGCAAGUACUGUUACCAAGGAGACAUGCAGGGUGCUGUGGAGCAGGUAGGGGAACCCACCCGGGGAUCAGAAAAAUCUCCUGAGGACAUGACAUCCAAGCUGUGGCCUAAACAAUGAAUGGACUGGCAAGAGCCUUCCUGGCAGAGGGAGCAGCAUGUGCAGGUGGGAAGACGCAGGGGCAAAAUGAGCGUCUGCCAUGUGCCUGGCACUUAAAUGUAACCUCUGUGAUCUUCACGCCAGCCCCAGGAAGUAGGUGUCUGCCCGUUAUGGAGCUGUGAAAGCUGAGGCUCAAAGAUCACUCAGGGAAUUAGGGCCUGGGACUAGGCAGUGGACUCCUGACUCAAGAUUCUGGCUUCAGUCCCGAGCUGUCACUCCAGUCUGCAGAAACUCUGCCCUCCUGGGAAAGCCCCCUGGGGUGGGGGGGUGGGCCUAUUGGGCAGUGGCCAGAGGCGAUAGAAACUGACUGGGGCUGGACGUCAGCCAGGCUGAAAUGUUGAUUAUUUAUCUUUCACCUUUGCACAGCACUUGACAGGUCGUGAAGCCUUUUCCUCCCCAUUUGCCAACUGUUCUUGGGCCCCACUGCCAGUCAGUGGCAGAGCUAGGACUUAAAGGCAGGCCUAUGACUCCCAGCCCAGACCCCCAUCUCCCUAGCUCUUGGCACUGCCCCAGGGGCCGCGACCCAGGUCUCCAGUGGCCCCUGACUGGAGAUGUCCCAGGCCUCCUGUGGGCAUGAGCAGCAGCCCCUGGCCCAGAAGCCUGUUCUCCCCAUCCUCCUCCCUGCAGGCUCCUUUGCCUCCUUGGCGGGAAGGUGGGAGGGCAGGCAGGGGCCACAGCCAGGAGGAGUAGGGUUGCAGUGUAAACACCCAAAAUGUCAAUAUUUACCUCCGCCUGGAACCAGAGCCUCCUGCCUGCCUCCCUGCCUCCCACGCGCUGCUGCCGGUCCAGGCGCACGUGGCCUGCUCUGAGGCUCUGAUCUGGUCACUGAGAGCAAGGCCGAGGGAGGGGACCUAGCGUCCAGCCCAAGCUCUGCCACUAACUUUUCAUGUAGCCCUGAGCAAGACGCUGUCCCUUCCUGGGCCUCAAUUUUCCCAUCUGUAAAAUGGCAUGGCUGGAACCGACCAACUCCAGGGGCCUUUUCAGCAAUGACCUGUAGGAUUAUAAGCAUAGUUCUCUGGUUCAGAGCACGGACUUGAAGUUGGGUGGACCUGGGUUUGAAUCCCAGCCCCACGACUUCCUCACUGUGAGACUGUGGACAAGUCGCUUAAUCCCUCUGAGCUUUGGUUUCUUCGUCUGUAGAAUGAGAUCCUAAUGGUACCUACUUUGGAGGGUCAUUGGUAAGGAUUAAUGAGGUAACUCUCGACGUAGCGCUUGACAUAGGAUAAGAACUGAAAAAAUGGUGGUGGUGUUGGUGGUGGUUGUUAUUCCAAAUAAACAUUUUACGAUUCUCUGAA